rnacentral:rRNA from 1 species
CACGGGGCGCAGCAGGCGCGAAAACUUUACAAUGCGGGAAACCGUGAUAAGGGGACACCAGUGGUAACUAUCAUAUGCUGGCUGUCCAGGAAGUAAACUACACUCUAGCGGGACCGAGCGCCG